rnacentral:rRNA from 1 species
GAUGAACGCUGGCGGCGUGCCUAAUACAUGCAAGUCGAGAGAACGGACGAGAAGCUUGCUUUUCUGAUGUUAGCGGCGGACGGGUGAGUAACACGUGGAUAACCUACCUAUAAGACUGGGAUAACUUCGGGAAACCGGAGCUAAUACCGGAUAAUAUUUUGAACCGCAUGGUUCAAAAGUGAAAGACGGUCUUGCUGUCACUUAUAGAUGGAUCCGCGCUGCAUUAGCUAGUUGGUAAGGUAACGGCUUACCAAGGCAACGAUGCAUAGCCGACCUGAGAGGGUGAUCGGCCACACUGGAACUGAGACACGGUCCAGACUCCUACGGGAGGCAGCAGUAGGGAAUCCUCCGCAAUGGGCGAAAGCCUGACGGAGCAACGCCGCGUGAGUGAUGAAGGUCUUCGGAUCGUAAAACUCUGUUAUUAGGGAAGAACAUAUGUGUAAGUAACUGUGCACAUCUUGACGGUACCUAAUCAGAAAGCCACGGCUAACUACGUG